rnacentral:lncRNA from 1 species
AGACAUGUAGUCAUGCGUAUGUGACAUGCCGUACAGGUGUGGCUGCCACGUGACUCACAGGUUGCUGAAACGUGGCUCCCACAUACUCAGUCAUGGCUGGCACGUGGCUCAUGCAUGCCUCAGCCGUGUUUCAUCUGUGGCUCACCUGAGGUUCAUGUGUGGUUCAAGCAUUGAACGUGUGGUUCGCAUGGGCUUCAGAUGUGGGUCAAGGGUGCCUCACACAUGGAUCCGGCACAGUUCACUUGUGGCUCACACAUGGUUCAGAUGUAAUUCAGGCAUGGUAAACACAUGACUCGUGUGGGUCAUAAAUGCUACAGUAGACUUUCACACAUGAUUGAGGCAUGGCUCACACAUGGUUCCGGUGCAGCUCAGCCAAGGCUCACAUGUGAUGCAGGCAUGAAACAGAAUUGGUUCACAUGUGGCUGGUGCACGAUUCAGGCGUUUGUCAUGCAUGGCUCACACACGGCUGAGAUGUGGCUCAUGCAUGGCUGUGGUGCUGCUAAUGCGUGCUCUCACUUGUUUGUGGCGUGGUUGGCACAUGGUUCAGGCAUGGCAGGCAGGUGGCUCCAGCAUGGCUGCCACGUGCUUCAAGUGAGGCUGGCAUGUGUUUAAAUUGGGACUGGCACAUGGUUCCGUCGUGGCCGGCAUGUGUCUUCGGCAUGGCUGAGAUGAGACUCAGGCAUGGCUCACAUGCCUUUCAGGCUUGGCUGACACAUGACUCAGGUGAGGCAGCCACGUGAUACAGGCGUUCCUGUCACAUCACCCAUGUGUGGCUCGCACCUGGUUCAUGCACGGCCUUCACGUGGCUCAUGGCUGGCUGGUGCGUGGUUCACGCAGGGGUGCCAUGUGUUUCAGGUGUGGCUGACACAUGACGCAGGCAUGGCUGACACGUGACUCUACCAUUCAUCCCACAUUAUCCAUGCCUGGUAGACAUGUGUUUCAUGCAUGGGUUACAUGUCAUUCAUGUGUGGCACACACGUGUCUCACUCGCUGCUGACACAUGGCUCCCACCUACGCAGACUUAGCUGGCACAUGGCUGACACAUGGCCCAGACAUGUUUCUCGUGUGGCUCCCAUGUGGCUCACGUGUGGUUCAGGCAUUGAACAUGGGUGCUUCACUCAUUUUUCC